rnacentral:rRNA from 1 species
UGGGGAAUAUUGGACAAUGGGCGGAAGCCUGAUCCAGCCAUGCCGCGUGUGUGAAGAAGGCCUUUUGGUUGUAAAGCACUUUAAGCGAGGAGGAGGCCACUUGGAUUAAUACUCUAGGAUAGUGGACGUUACUCGCAGAAUAAGCACCGGCUAACUCUGUGCCAGCAGCCGCGGUAAUACAGAGGGUGCGAGCGUUAAUCGGAUUUACUGGGCGUAAAGCGUGCGUAGGCGGCUUCUUAAGUCGGAUGUGAAAUCCCUGAGCUUAACUUAGGAAUUGCAUUCGAUACUGGGAAGCUAGAGUAUGGGAGAGGAUGGUAGAAUUCCAGGUGUAGCGGUGAAAUGCGUAGAGAUCUGGAGGAAUACCGAUGGCGAAGGCAGCCAUCUGGCCUAAUACUGACGCUGAGGUACGAAAGCAUGGGGAGCAAACAGG